CCUACGGGAGGCAGCAGUGGGGAAUAUUGCACAAUGGGCGAAAGCCUGAUGCAGCGACGCCGCGUGAGGGACGAAGGCCUUCGGGUUGUAAACCUCUUUCAGCAGGGAAGAAGCGAAAGUGACGGUACCUGCAGAAGAAGCGCCGGCUAACUACGUGCCAGCAGCCGCGGUAAUACGUAGGGCGCAAGCGUUAUCCGGAAUUAUUGGGCGUAAAGAGCUCGUAGGCGGUUUGUCGCGUCUGCUGUGAAAGCCCGGGGCUCAACCCCGGGUCUGCAGUGGGUACGGGCAGACUAGAGUGCAGUAGGGGAGACUGGAAUUCCUGGUGUAGCGGUGAAAUGCGCAGAUAUCAGGAGGAACACCGAUGGCGAAGGCAGGUCUCUGGGCUGUAACUGACGCUGAGGAGCGAAAGCAUGGGGAGCGAACAGGAUUAGAUACCCUGGUAGUCCAUGCCGUAAACGUUGGGCACUAGGUGUGGGGGACAUUCCACGUUUUCCGCGCCGUAGCUAACGCAUUAAGUGCCCCGCCUGGGGAGUACGGCCGCAAGGCUAAAACUCAAGGAAUUGACGG
rnacentral:rRNA from 1 species